rnacentral:rRNA from 1 species
CAGCAGUCGCCGCGGUAAUACGGAGGGGGCUAGCGUUGUUCGGAAUUACUGGGCGUAAAGCGCACGUAGGCGGCUUGGUAAGUUAGAGGUGAAAGCCUGGAGCUCAACUCCAGAAUUGCCUUUAAGACUGCCGAGCUAGCAGGUGAGAGAGGUAAGUGGAAUUCCGAGUGUAGAGGUGAAAUUCGUAGAUAUUCGGAAGAACACCAGUGGCGAAGGCGGCUUACUGGCUCAUACUGGACGCUGAGGUGCGAAAGCGUGGGGAGCAAACAGGAUUAGAUACCCCAGUAGUCCCUGUCUCUUAUAC